GAUGAACGCUGGCGGCGUGCCUAAUACAUGCCAGUCGAGCGAACGGACGAGAAGCUUGCUUCUCUGAUGUUAGCGGCGGACGGGUGAGUAACACGUGGAUAACCUACCUAUAAGACUGGGAUAACUUCGGGAAACCGGAGCUAAUACCGGAUAAUAUUUUGAACCGCAUGGUUCAAAAGUGAAAGACGGUCUUGCUGUCACUUAUAGAUGGAUCCGCGCUGCAUUAGCUAGUUGGUAAGGUAACGGCUUACCAAGGCAACGAUGCAUAGCCGACCUGAGAGGGUGAUCGGCCACACUGGAACUGAGACACGGUCCAGACUCCUACGGGAGGCAGCAGUAGGGAAUCUUCCGCAAUGGGCGAAAGCCUGACGGAGCAACGCCGCGUGAGUGAUGAAGGUCUUCGGAUCGUAAAACUCUGUUAUUAGGGAAGAACAUAUGUGUAAGUAACUGUGCACAUCUUGACGGUACCUAAUCAGAAAGCCACGGCUAACUACGUGC
rnacentral:rRNA from 1 species